rnacentral:rRNA from 1 species
CCAGAGAAUUUAGCAGAGAUGCUUUAGUGCCUUCGGGGAACUCUGAGACAGGUGCUGCAUGGCUGUCGUCAGCUCGUGUUGUGAAAUGUCGGGUUAAGUCCCGCAACGAGCGCAACCCCUAUCCUUUGUUGCCAGCGAUUCGGUCGGGAACUCAAAGGAGACUGCCGGUGAUAAACCGGAGGAAGGUGGGGAUGACGUCAAGUCAUCAUGGCCCUUACGAGUAGGGCUACACACGUGCUACAAUGGCGCAUACAAAGAGAAGCGACCUCGCGAGAGCAAGCGGACCUCAUAAAGUGCGUCGUAGUCCGGAUUGGAGUCUGCAACUCGACUCCAUGAAGUCGGAAUCGCUAGUAAUCGUAGAUCAGAAUGCUACGGUGAAUACGUUCCCGGGCCUUGUACACACCGCCCGUCACACCAUGGGAGUGGGUUGCAAAAGAAGUAGAUAGCUUAACCUUCGGGAGGGCGUUUACCACUUUGUGAUUCAUGACUGGGGUGAAGUCGUAACAAGGUAAGCGUAGCGAG